AGCGAACGCUGGCGGCAGGCUUAACACAUGCAAGUCGAGCGGGCCCUCCGGGGUCAGCGGCAGACGGGUGAGUAACACGUGGGAACGUACCCUUUGGUUCGGAAUAACGCUGGGAAACUAGCGCUAAUACCGGAUACGCCCUUCUGGGGAAAGGCUUGCUGCCGAAGGAUGGGCCGGCGUCCGUUUAGCCGGUUGGUGGGGUAAUGGCCUACCAAGGCGACGAUCAGUAGCUGGUCUGAGAGGAUGAUCAGCCACACUGGGACUAGGACGCGGCCCAGACUCCUGCGGGAGGCAGCAGUGGGGAAUAUAGGACAAUGGGGGCAGGCCUGAUGGAGCCAGGCCGCGUGAGUGAUGAAGGCCUGAGAGUAGUACAGCUCGUUUGUCCGGGGCGAUAAUGACGGUACCGGAAGAAUAAGCCCCGGCUAACUUCGUG
rnacentral:rRNA from 1 species